AGCACGUUAUGGUGGGCACUCUAAGGAGGACUGCCGGUGACAAACCGGAGGAAGGUGGGGGAUGACGUCAAGUCAUCAUGGCCCUUACGGCCUGGGCUACACACGUGCUACAAUGGUCGGUACAAAGGGUUGCCAAGCCGCGAGGUGGAGCUAAUCCCAUAAAACCGAUCGUAGUCCGGAUCGCAGUCUGCAACUCGACUGCGUGAAGUCGGAAUCGCUAGUAAUCGUGAAUCAGAAUGUCACGGUGAAUACGUUCCCGGGCCUU
rnacentral:rRNA from 1 species